AUGUAUAUAUGCACAUAUACUAAAAUUGGAAUGAUACUGAGAAGAUUAGCAUGGCCCUUGCUCAAGAAUGCAGAUUUGUGAAGCAUUCAUAUUUUUA
ensembl:snRNA U6 U6 spliceosomal RNA